AUUGAGAGUUUGAUCCUGGCUCAGGACGAACGCUGGCGGCGUGCCUAACACAUGCAAGUCGAGCGAUGAAGUUUCCUUCGGGAAAUGGAUUAGCGGCGGACGGGUGAGUAACACGUGGG
rnacentral:rRNA from 1 species